CAACUUCCACCUGGCUUACCUCCUCAGUUAUGCGUCAUGACUUGUAUCGUCUUGAGCGUAUUGUGGGUUUCCUGUGUUGCAUACCUUUCUAAUGGUAUCGUGUUGAUUGAUCGAAGUCCCUUUUCAUCUUGUGUUGCUUUUUGCGACGCAUGAUGAACCUCGAGGCGGUCUCUAUGUUCCACCACGUUGAUGCUAGCGUUUUGAUGUUGUGGCCCAUUGAGUGUUGCUUGGUUUCGUGGAUACAGAACAUGAUUUGGGCAUAGGGUUACUUGUGACUCUUGUUUUGUCCUUUAUCUGUGUUCUUUAUAACGACGGUUCAUGCGCGCCUAGGCUCGUACCUGCGCGAUGUUCUUUGUCGAAGAGGAAUGCUACCUGGUUGAUCCUGCCAGUAGUCAUAUGCUUGUCUCAAAGAUUAAGCCAUGCAUGUGUAAGU
rnacentral:misc_RNA from 2 species